CCUACGGGGGGCAGCAGUGGGGGAUAUUGCACAAUGGGGGGAACCCUGAUGCAGCUACUUCUCGUGGGUGAAGGAGCGUUUCGGCGCGUAAAGCCCUAUCGGCAGGGAAGAAGAUGACGGUACCUGACCAAGAAGCCCCGGCUAACUACGUGCCAGCAGCCGCGGUAAUACGUAGGGGGCAAGCGUUAUCCGGAUUUACUGGGUGUAAAGGGGGCGCAGACGGCAAUGCAAGCCAGGAGUGAAAGCCCGGGGCCCAACCCCGGGACUGCUCUUGGAACUGCAUGGCUGGAGUACAGGAGGGGCAGGCGGAAUUCCUAGUGUAGCGGUGAAAUGCGUAGAUAUUAGGAGGAACACCAGUGGCGAAGGCGGCCUGCUGGGCUUUUACUGACGCUGAGGCUCGAAAGUGUGGGGAGCAAACAGGAUUAGAUACCCGAGUAGUG
rnacentral:rRNA from 1 species